rnacentral:rRNA from 1 species
AGAGUUUGAUCCUGGCUCAGAACGAACGCUGGCGGCGUGGAUAAGACAUGCAAGUCGGACGCUGAUUGCCAGGUAGCAAUAUUUGGCGGUCGGAGUGGCGUAAGGGUGCGUAACACGUGGGUAAUCUGCCCUGAAGUUGGGGAUAACUCGCUGAAAGGCGAGCUAAUACCGAAUGUGGAUCUUGGGUGGCAUCGCUUGAGAUCUAAAGUUGGGGACCGUAAGGCCUGACGCUUCAGGAUGAGCCCGCGGCCUAUCAGCUUGUUGGUGAGGUAACGGCUCACCAAGGCUAAGACGGGUAGCUGGUCUGAGAGGACGACCAGCCACACUGGAACUGAGACACGGUCCAGACACCUACGGGUGGCAGCAGUCGAGAAUUUUUCACAAUGGGCGAAAGCCUGAUGGAGCGACGCCGCGUGGGGGAUGAAUGGCUUCGGCCCGUAAACCCCUGUCAUUUGCGAACAAACCUUGCCCGCUAACACCGGGCGAGCUGAUUGUAGCGAAAGAGGAAGGGACGGCUAACUCUGUGCCAGCAGCCGCGGUA